GACGAACGCUGGCGGCGUGCUUAACACAUGCAAGUCGAACGCUGAAGCCCUUUCGGGGGUGGAUGAGUAGCGAACGGGUGAGUAACACGUGGGUAAUCUGCCCUGUACUUCGGGAUAAGCCUUGGAAACGGGGUCUAAUACCGGAUAGGACCUGUCCUCGCAUGGGGGUGGGUGGAAAGUUCCGGCGGUAUGGGAUGAGCCCGCGGCCUAUCAGCUUGUUGGUGGGGUAGUGGCCUACCAAGGCGACGACGGGGAGCCGGCCUGAGAGGGUGGCCGGUCACAAUGGGACUGAGACACGGACCAGACUCCUACGGGGGGCAGCAGUGGGGAAUCUUGCGCAAUGGGCGAAAGCCUGACGCAGCAACGCCGCGGGGGGGAUGACGGCCUUCGGGUUGUAAACCUCUUUCGACAUCGACGAAGGGGCCCUGUUGUGGGGUUUUGACGGUAGGUGUAGAAGAAGCACCGGCUAACUACGUGCCAGCAGCCGCCGCCG
rnacentral:rRNA from 1 species